ACACUGAGUGUUAUGGUUAUCAUCGGUAGUUGGCGGUCUUUUCAUCUUGUAUUUGGUUUGCCGCUUUCUUUCAGGAUGAAACCCGUUUUCAGGAUGAAAUCAGGGACACCUCCAGGACGGAGACUGAGAGCCGAUUAGGAGUGUUGGUGGGGCAGGAGCCUAAAAGGAUUGGAUCAUGGAUGAUAUACAGGGAUGGCCAAGUCAGGAAGAAAGUUGGACGACAGCAUGGAUGGCUGGUUAGGAAGACCAUCAAGGAAAAGUUUUCAUGGAUGAGCAGGGAUGCAAAGGUUUAGCGGGAUAGCUAUAAAACGAAUAGGGGGUACUGAGUGAUCAGUACCCCCAUUUUUUUGU
rnacentral:other from 1 species